AGUCAAGUAAUUAAGUGCAUGUGGUGGAUGCCUUGGCAGUCAGAGGCGAUGAAAGACGUGAUAGCCUGCGAAAAGCUCCGGGGAGGCGGCAAAUAUCCUUUGAUCCGGAGAUGUCUGAAUGGGGGAACCCACCUACUUUAAGGUAGGUAUUGCAACAUGAAUACAUAGUGUUGCAAGGCGAACGAGGGGAAGUGAAACAUCUCAGUACCCUUAGGAAAAGAAAUCAAUUGAGAUUCCCUCAGUAGCGGCGAGCGAACGGGGAUCAGCCCAUUAAGUUAUGUGUGUUUUAGUGGAACGCUCUGGGAAGUGCGAACGUAGAGGGUGAUAUUCCCGUACACGAAAGGGCACACAUAAUGAUGACGAGUAGGGCGAGGCACGUGAAACCUUGUCUGAAUAUGGGGGGACCAUCCUCCAAGGCUAAAUACUCCUGACUGACCGAUAGUGAACCAGUACCGUGAGGGAAAGGCGAAAAGAACCCCUGUGAGGGGAGUGAAAUAGAUCCUGAAACCGCAUGCAUACAAGCAGUGGGAGCACCUUCGUGGUGUGACUGCGUACCUUUUGUAUAAUGGGUCAGCGACUUAUAUUCAGUAGCGAGGUUAACCGUAUAGGGGAGCCGUAGAGAAAUCGAGUCUUAAUAGGGCGUUUAGUUGCUGGGUAUAGACCCGAAACCAGGCGAUCUAUCCAUGAGCAGGUUGAAGGUUGGGUAACACUAACUGGAGGACCGAACCCACUGUCGUUGAAAAAGGGGAUGACUUGUGGAUAGGGGUGAAAGGCUAAUCAAGCCUGGUGAUAGCUGGUUCUCCCCGAAAGCUAUUUAGGUAGCGCCUCGGACGAAUACCAUAGGGGGUAGAGCACUGUUUCGGCUAGGGGGUCAUCCCGACUUACCAAACCGAUGCAAACUCCGAAUACCUAUGAGUACUAUCCGGGAGACAGACUGCGGGUGCUAACGUCCGUAGUCAAGAGGAAAACAAUCCAGACCGCCAGCUAAGGCCCCAAAAUCAUAGUUAAGUGGGAAACGAUGUGGGAAGGCAUAGACAGCUAGGAGGUUGGCUUAGAAGCAGCCACCCUUUAAAGAAAGCGUAAUAGCUCACUAGUCGAGUCGGCCUGCGCGGAAGAUGUAACGGGGCUAAAACUAUGUGCCGAAGCUGCGGAUGUAUACUUUGUAUACGUGGUAGGGGAGCGUUCUGUAAGCCGAUGAAGGUGUGUUGAGAAGCAUGCUGGAGGUAUCAGAAGUGCGAAUGCUGACGUGAGUAACGACAAAACGGGUGAAAAACCCGUUCGCCGAAAGACCAAGGGUUCCAGUCCAACGUUAAUCGGGGCUGGGUGAGUCGACCCCUAAGGCGAGGCCGAAAGGCGUAGUCGAUGGGAAAAUGGUUAAUAUUCCAUUACUUCUGUGUAAUGCGAUGAGAGGACGGAGAAGGCUAAAUCAGCCUGGCGUUGGUUGUCCAGGUGAAAGGAUGUAGGCAUGUAUCUUAGGCAAAUCCGGGGUACUCUAUGCUGAGAUCUGAUAGCAAGCUGUACUUGUACAGCGAAGUGGUUGAUGCCAUGCUUCCAGGAAAAGUCUCUAAGCUUCAGUUACACAGGAAUCGUACCCGAAACCGACACAGGUGGUCAGGUCGAGUAGACCAAGGCGCUUGAGAGAACUCUGCUGAAGGAACUAGGCAAAAUGGUACCGUAACUUCGGAGAAGGUACGCUGUUGUUGGUGAUGGAACUCGCUUCCUGAGCUGACGACAGCCGCAGAAACCAGGCCGCUGAACUGUUUAUUAAAAACAUAGCACUCUGCAAACACGAAAGUGGACGUAUAGGGUGGAUGCCUGCCCGGUGCUGGAAGGUUAAUUGAUGGGGUUAGCGUAAGCGAAGCUCUUGAUCGAAGCCCCAGUAAACGGCGGCCGUAACUAUAACGGUCCUAAGGUAGCGAAAUUCCUUGUCGGGUAAGUUCCGACCUGCACGAAUGGCAUAAUGAUGGCGGCGCUGUCUCCAGCAGAGGCUCAGUGAAAUCGAAAUCGCUGUGAAGAUGCAGUGUACCCGCGGCUAGACGGAAAGACCCCGUGAACCUUUACUGCAGCUUGACACUGAACUUUGACCUUACUUGUGUAGGAUAGGUGGGAGGCUUUGAAGCUGGAACGCUAGUUCCAGUGGAGCCGUCCUUGAAAUACCACCCUGGUAAUGUUGAGGUUCUAACUCUGUCCCGUGAUCCGGGACGAGGACCGUGUCUGGUGGGUAGUUUGACUGGGGCGGUCUCCUCCUAAAGAGUAACGGAGGAGUACGAAGGUGCGCUCAGCGUGGUCGGAAAUCACGCGUAGAGUAUAAAGGCAAAAGCGCGCUUAACUGCGAGACCCACAAGUCGAGCAGGUACGAAAGUAGGUCUUAGUGAUCCGGUGGUUCUGUAUGGAAGGGCCAUCGCUCAACGGAUAAAAGGUACUCUGGGGAUAACAGGCUGAUACCGCCCAAGAGUUCAUAUCGACGGCGGUGUUUGGCACCUCGAUGUCGGCUCAUCUCAUCCUGGGGCUGAAGCAGGUCCCAAGGGUAUGGCUGUUCGCCAUUUAAAGAGGUACGCGAGCUGGGUUUAGAACGUCGUGAGACAGUUCGGUCCCUAUCUACCGUGGGCGCUGGAAAUUUGAGAGGAUCUGCUCCUAGUACGAGAGGACCAGAGUGGACGAACCUCUGGUGUACCGGUUGUGACGCCAGUCGCAUCGCCGGGUAGCUAUGUUCGGAAGGGAUAACCGCUGAAAGCAUCUAAGCGGGAAGCCUACCUCAAGAUAAGAUUUCCCUAGGACUUUAUGUCCUCUAAAGAGCCGUUCGAGACUAGGACGUUGAUAGGUUGGAUGUGGAAGCAUAGUGAUAUGUGAAGCUGACCAAUACUAAUUGCUCGUGAGGCUUGACUAU
rnacentral:rRNA from 1 species